rnacentral:lncRNA from 1 species
UUCUAACCUACGAUAAUAUAUAUUUUUUAUAUUUGUUAUAUAAAAGUACAAUAAAUUAGUUUAUUAACAAAUCUACUGGUUAAAUUAAAAUAUACAGUAUACAGAUAUGAAAUAAGAGAAUGAUAAGAGCUUUUUAUGAAGAUAAAAUGGAGAAUACGACAAGAAAAAUGGAGAGAAAUAAGAUUUUCCUUUGGGAACAUGUGUACUUGCAUAGAAUUUCAUAAGAGAAUCUCACCGAUUGUACCUUGCUUUUCAAUGAAAGUGUGUGCCAAGAAAGAGUAAGCUGGAGCAACAAGAUUGGAUCCGCCAAAUGGUUUCUGCAUAUAAUUGUUGCCUUCAAAUCAUUUCUGCAAAUACCUCUUCAGAGAAUGAUAUGCUGUACCUCCCAAAUCUACUUAUUUCGAUGAUAUAAAGAUAAUUUUAUUCUUAAUGGUUGUUCCACACUGGUAGAAAUGUAUUAUUGUUAUGAGGAGAUGUAGUGAAUAAGGUUUUCUAUUGAUGUCUUCACUCUCAUUUUUUAUAAGAUACUUAUAGAGACAAUAGUAGCAAUCAUUUUAAAAAUAAUUUUGGAAUCAUACAAGACUUGGCUUAUUAACGAAGAUUCUAUAGGAAAAAGCGAAAAAACGACUUCUGCAAUUGAUAUAGGAUACAGAUAUGAAAUAAGACAGUGAUAAGAGCUUUUUACGAAGAUAAAAUGGAGAAAACACCAAGAAAAAUGGAGAGAAAUAAGAUUUUCUUUUGCGAAGAUGUGUACUUUAAUAGAAUUUCAUAACAAAAUCUCACCGAUUGUACUGUAUUUUCAAUGAGAGUGUGGGCCAAGAAAGAGUAAAGCUGGAGCAACAAGAUUGGAAUCCUGUUGAAAAAACGAAUCCGUCAAAUGGUUUCUGCUUAUAAAAUCCAUGGAAGCUAUGCUGUACCUCCCAAAUCUGCUUAUUUCGAUGAUAUAAAGAUAAUUUUAUUUUUAAUGGUUGUUCCACACUGGUAGAAAUGUGUUAUUGUUAUAAGGAGAUGCAGUAAAUAAGGUUUUCUAUUGAUGUCUUCACUCUCAUUUUUUAUAAGAUAUAGAGACAAUAGUAGCAAGCAUUUUAAAAAUAAUUUUGGAAUCAUACAAGACUUGGCUUAUUAACGACGAAUCUAUAGGAAAAAGCGAAAAAACGACUUCUACAAUUGAUACAGAUAUGAAAUAAUGCAGUGAUAAGUGCUGUUUAUGAAGAUAAAGUGGAGAAUACGCCAAGAAAAAUGGAGAGGAAUAAGAUUUUCUCUUGGGAAGAUGUGUACUUGCAUAGAAUUUCAUAAGAAAAUCUCACCGAUUGUACCCGGCUUUUCAAUGAAAGUGUGGGCCAAGUAAAAGUAAAGCUGGAGUUACAAGAUCGGAAUCCUGUUGAAAACACGGAUCCGCCAAAUGGUUUCUGCUUAUAAUUAUUGUUGCCUUCAAACUUUGCUUCAAAUCAUUUCUGCAAAUACCUCUUCAGAAAAUUAUACUUCCGAACAUUCAGAUCCAUGGAAGCUAUGCUGUACAUCCCAAAUCUGCUUUUUUCGAUGAUAUAAAGAUAAUUUUAUUCUUAAUGGUUGUUCCACACUGCUAGAAAUGUAUUAUUGUUAUGAGGAGAUGCAGUGAAUAAGAACCAACACUUUCUA